rnacentral:rRNA from 1 species
GACGAACGCUGGCGGCGUGCCUAACACAUGCAAGUCGAACGGGGUGAGACCCUUCGGGGGUUUCACUUAGUGGCGAACGGGUGAGUAACGCGUGAGGAACCUACCCUGUACACACGGAUAACAUACCGAAAGGUAUGCUAAUACCGAGGAUAAUAUGCUUUAUCGCAUGGUAGAAGUAUCAAAGCUCCGGCGGUACAGGAUGGACCCGCGUCUGAUUAGCUAGUUGGUGAGGUAACGGCUCACCAAGGCGACGAUCAGUAGCCGACCUGAGAGGGUGAUCGGCCACAUUGGAACUGAGACACGGGUCCAAACUCCUACGGG